ACUCUCCCCCGCCGCCGCUUCUCCGGCUUCUUCGGGGCGGCCGCUUCUGGCCGCCCAAGAUGGCUGCCGGGUGCCGGCGAUCGUGUCUCCCUUGCCCGGCUUUGCGCAUGCCCAGAACAGGGCAGGGAGGCACGGACACACGCUUGGUGUCCGUCCAUGGACGGACACCAAGCGUUUUAUUAGAGAGGAUUUGGAGAAGGAGCCUGUGAUGGUUAAGGUAAACUAAAUGCUUCUCAGCCUAGAGAAUGGCUUGAGGGCAGAAGACAGGAUCUUGUCUGUGAUACAGAAGCCCUGGUUCGAAGACUAUCUAGAAACCCCAGAUUCCCUUCACCUUUCCCAUUAAGCCUUUGGCAAUCCCCAGAGGGCUAGAAGCAGUCAACUGCAAGUCAUAAAACAGGCCACUAGAGAUGGCCUUCAUCAGAAGAACCUAUCCGUGCCUCCACUUGUGUGGACUAGUGUGAUGCAAGUUAGGUAGAAUGAUGGCACACGCUUGAAAUACUUUGGGACAAUGAUGAUGAACUGCUUUGGUGCAAAGAUGGGAGAAGAAUGACAUUCAUCCCCACGACUGCUAUUAAUAGUGUUAAAAACUGCAAGAUUCUACUCCUGGAUCUCUCACCUCAUGUUUACUUUAGCCUUAAGAGGAAUCCUGCCUUAGUCAGCUUCUUUCUUUCUUUCUUUCUUUCUUUCUUUCUUUCUUUCUUUCUUUCUUUCUCAUGCAGAACAUUUAUCUUUUGCUUUGUUGGUUAGGCAGAAGUCUGGGAUACUCAGGCUUUUAUAGCCCAAGCAUGUUAGAAAGGAUGGAUCUCUUGAAAUGGAUUGAAACCAAUUCUAGUUUGGUUUGCAGGAAUACAGCCUGCUGCAGAAGGCUUGAGAGAGAGAGAGAGAGAGAGAGAGAGAGAGAGAACAAAACUUGCUGCUAUUAAAAUUACAGUUUUACAAACUUCAUCCAGAGUUGCCCAAAGGAUAUGGAAAUUCAUCUGAGCUUUGAAGAUGCUCACAGUUCCUUGAAAUGGUUGCAAGGCUCACUUUACAAGCUUCCUGACUGAAGUGAUUUUUGCCCCCUCCUAAGUGGAAAUUCAGCCUAUGGGGUUUAUAGAUAUUGUUACGAUCAAUGACAUAUUGAUCAUGUAUGCUUUGAGAGUUUAAAGGCCGGCUUUAUAAACAGCAGUUGGAACCUGUGUGAUUCAAGUUGGGAGAAAAAAAAGAAGUUGGAAUUUAAUGUUCACUUGUGUUGAGAGAACUUGCAAAGAAAACAGAGCUCCCCAAACUUAGCACAAUUAAGAUAAAAGCAGCCUGGUCCAAAGAUUGGAACAUGCCUUCUCCUCACGGAGCACAGGGUGGGCAGGAGGCAAGAAGCAGGUUCCAGGACUCUCCUUUCCGCUUCGCAGCUGGCAGAAAUGUGGAUAGGGCAGCAGUGGCUUUUCCUACAAGCACAUCAGAAAACUGUUGCCUGUUUCAUGUGCAGCUCACUGCAUCAGGCACCAAACUGAGUGGGAGGCAAGUUGUGGGAAACCUUCUCACCCCCAUGCUGAGCAGUGACUUUUGGUGGGCUCAUGAACUUUGUUUCUGCUUCAGGAAGGCCUCUCUCUGGAUUUGGUUAGGAAAGUAUUGUAACCCCCACCUCCCUCCACCACUUGCUCCCUCCCUGCUUCCUUCCUGUGUCUCUGCUUGCCUCUCUCCACUCGCUCUUCCUUUUCCUCCUGCCGAGCCCAAUGCAGGAGCGGCCCGUUCAUGAGGUGAGUGAGGUGGCUGCCUUGGGCAGCAACUUACUGGAGUGCCAGUGAGGUGGCAAAAUGCCACCUUGUCUCCUCCAUGCUAAAAGCAGGCGGGGAGGGGGAAGAGGGUGCAUGCAAGGGAAGUAACAUUUUGCGUGCUGCCUCAAGUGCACAGUCAGUGGAUCUGAGCUGCCACUGGCUCAAUCUUGCAGCUGCUCCUCCUGCUGCUCCUCUUUUUUGCCCUCAGAAGAGAAGGGAUGGGUGGGCAGAGGCACCACCGAUAAUACAAAAAAGAAAAGACCCUCCGGUGCCUCCGCAAAUGCUUUAUUUGAGCCUGACAUAUUUGAGAUAAAUAGUAUAUAUAUUUUCCAGGGGACUGAAACAUAAACACAUAUAAUAAUAAACUCCACAUUAUUCAGCACAAAAGGAUAAUUUAACGACAAAACAUGUAACCCAAUUAUGAUGGACAACACAUAAAGAAAACACUUUACAAGCCUCACAAUUAUAAACCACCAUUAAAAUAACCAUAUUGUAUAACUUGAUCCAAAAUACUAUUCCAAUUUCUAUGUUACCAAACUGCUUAUUAAAGCAGCCUUCUGCUAAACAGUACUCUGCUUAGAAUAGCUCUUCAACUGAAACGUGAACACACAAGGAACUCGUUCUUUUGUUAAAACCCUCCCCAUCCUGCAAACUCUCUUGUAGGCACAUCCGUGCAUCAACUGCCAAAACAAACUCACCAAUACCACCCAAAUAAUGUAUCAAAAUUCCAUAUGUAAUGCUCUUCAAAUCAACAAUUCUGUGGAAUUAUAUAUGUAUCAAAAAACCCUCUCGGCUUCCACCAGUUCCUUUGCCUGCCCUCUCUGCUCAUUUAUUACACACAGUGGGAGAGGGCAGGUGACUAA